rnacentral:lncRNA from 1 species
AAGAAAACACAUCAAGCAUCUUAGAAGGUGGGUGUUUCUCACCCUGGAGGACAGAGCAGUGUCUAUAAAUGUCUGUUACACGUGGCUUUUAUCUUCAUUAUUUAUUUUUUUCUAGAAAAAGUUUCUCUAUGACACCUUGGCUGUCUUAGAACUCACUUUGUAACCCAGGCUGGCCCACAAUUCAGAGUUUCCCUUGCCUCUGCCUACCGAAUGCUGGGAUUAAGGGCAUAUGCCAGCACACCUGGCUUUCAUUUGGCCUUUGAAAGCAGGAGACAUGGCCUGAUAACUUCCCGAUGACAAUCAUCUUUAUUCUGUGACCAGUGGUCUUGGAGUGCUGUAUAAGUCCACUUAAUAACACCUUCUGUUGGUCGUGAAGGAGUCCAUAUAUAUGACUUCUGUUUGGAUAACUAAUGUAUAUCUUUUAAAUGCCAAACUUUUAAAUUUUCAGUUAUUUUUUUGAUGCAAGUCUCCUUAGGGAUGGUAGUCUACCUCCCUGCCUUUUUAAGCAGUGUGCUCAGUCUAGUUGACUUCAUCAUGAAGUUAUAUUCAUGAUGUUUUAUUGCAAAUCCCCAAUGAGCUCUGAUGCCCGUGAGACAUUUCAGAGAACAAAAGGGCUAUAACAAAAGGGAGGAAUGGCUCAGUGAGGGAUUCCUGCAGCUGUAACUGUUUGCCUCAGUUUUAGUGUUAAGACGAGUUUCAUAUCUGCAAAGUAAUGUGUUCUAUUGCUGUGCCUGUCUCUAACAGGUUCCCAUUUUCUUCUGUGCUGUCUUCAAGUUAUGGGCUGUGACAUGAACUAACCAGUCCUGUAGGGCCUGCAAAGGAACUGCACAGAAAGCUCCCAGUUAAAGGUGGGGUUACUUCAGCUUCCGCCGAGUAAGGGAAGUAAAAACUGGCUGCUGCUGGAUUAAGAACUAGCCGAACCGAAGUCGGGUAUGCUGACACAAAGGCUCUGCCUCUUCAGGGACCCUUCAUGCCUUUAAGAACACAGAACAAGAGGGAGGAAGGAAAAGGAAAAUCUAGGUAGGCUAGAGAGGGAGGUGACACUGAGUAACCAUGAAAAGGUACUCUAGAUCAUCACAUUAAAAGACAGUUUAGUUGGGGCUGGGGAUUUAGCUCAGUGGUAGAGCGCUUACCUAGGAAGCGCAAGGCCCUGGGUUCGGUCCCCAGCUCCGAAAAAAAGAACCAAAAAAAAAAAAAAAAAAAAGACAGUUUAGCGACACUGUAGAGUAAGACUGCACUAACAUUACGUUCUCCAGGGAAGUCCAGACUGUGUAUGUCCUGAGACCUGCUCCCCUCCAAAUGGUAGUAGAAAUCAACAAGAGAAGUCUCCAGUUUGCCUGUGUGAGUUGCUGUCUGGAGUUGUAAAUGACCUGAGAGAGGUUUAAUCACAAGUCCCAGGGGCCGGAGAGGUGGCUCAGCCUUUCAGAGCACUCUCUGCUCUUCCAGAGGUCCUGAGUUCAAUUCCCAACAAGUACAUGGUGGCUCACAACCAUCUGUAGUGGGAUCUGAUGCCCUCUUCUGGUGUGUCUGAAGACAGCUACAGUGCAUUGACAAACAAAUAGUUCUUUAAAAAAAAAAAAAAAAAA